GCACAGCUGUAUUGCAGAGAUACUGAUUGAUCACGAAUCUUCCAAACCUUCCGAACAUUGUUCUUCAAAAUCAUACACUUUAGACAGAAUCACACGCUCAUAGGGCAUGUAUGAAAGCGGGAAUUCUAUUUUUGCUGUUGGGAAAGACGAAGUAAACUUGCUGCUGCGAUGGCGAGCUGUGGACCAGGGCGUGGCGGCGCGAUUGAGACUUCAGACUGGAACUUGCUGAUGGAUGAGCAUAGCAGCGUGCCAUUUACUAACAUGACUAAGCCAACACAGUUGCUGGCAUCUCAUCUCUGAUCUGAAAAUUGUUUUGGACGAUGUAAACUUGCUGCUGCAAUGGCGAGCUGUGGACCAGGGCGUGGCGGCGCGAUUGAGACUUCAGACUGGAACUUGCCGGUGGUUGAGCAGAGCGGCGUGCCACUUACUAACAUGACUAAGCCAACAUUAAACUCUUCUGUCUUCUUGGCCAGCCUUUGGUGUGGACUAUUUUGUGUCAGACGUUGCUGAUCUUAGAUUGAGCUUUUUGUUUAUCAACUUGACAUAUUUCAUUCAUCAUGUGUUACGUGGUUGUCUGUCAGAAGUGUAAUAAGAAGACAUGGAAAGGAUGCGGACAACACGCUGAGCAGGUGAUGCGAGAUGUUCCAGAGGGAGAAAGAUGCAAGUGCCCUAGAGGAAGCUAAAAUGGCAUCUCAACAAUCGAUCUUUCCGCACAUUACCAUCUGUCAUGGUUUCUAUAAGUACUAUUUGGGAAGGGGU